rnacentral:lncRNA from 1 species
UUGUAAUUUUUUUCUCUUUCUAUUUAAAUUCAACAAUAUGUAAUCAUUAAUAAUAUUAAUUAUAAGUCUUUUGAAACAUUUAUUUAUUUUAUUAUGCUAGCAAUUAAACUUUAGUGGCAUAAAAUACAUGAAUUAAUUAACAUAGAAAGAGAGGUUCUUUCAUUUUCCCUCAACAAUGCCACUAAGGCCUAAUUUUAAUGCCAUAAUCCCAUAUUUAAUUAUGCAACCUUUUGUUGAGUGUCUUUUGGCUUCUUCAAAAUUUAUUAUGCUAGCAAUUAAACUUUAGUGGCAUAAAAUACAUGAAUUAAUUAACAUAGAAAGAGAGGUUCUUUCAUUUUCCCUCAACAAUGNNNNNNNNNNNNNNNNNNNNNNNNNNNNNNNNNNNNNNNNNNNNNNNNNNNNNNNNNNNNNNNNNNNNNNNNNNNNNNNNNNNNNNNNNNNNNNNNNNNNNNNNNNNNNNNNNNNNNNNNNNNNNNNNNNNNNNNNNNNNNCUUUUUCAAACUCUAUAAAUAUUAAGUAGUUAAGAUUUGUGGCAUUAUUAUUUCUCAUCUUUUUAUAUUCUCUAUUAUCUAAUAUAUUGGUUGAGAUUAAAAAUAAUUACAUUACAAAAUAUUAAAAAUCUAUAUCUAUCUAUAUAUAUAUAUAAAGUUGGGACUAGAGGAGGUGAUGUGACAUCACUAUUUCUCAUCUCUUAUAUUCUCUAUUAUCUAAUAAAUUGGUUGAUAUUAAAAAAAAUUACAUUAUAAAAUAUUAAAAAUAAAAAUAAUUAUUAGAUUAUAAAAGAUUACAUGUCUCUUCCUCUUUCUAUUUAAAUUGAAUAAUAUGUAACCAUUAAUAAUAAUUAAUUAUAAAUCUUGAAACAUUUAUUUAUUUUAUUAUUUCAACAAUUAAAUUUUAGUGGCUUAAAUAUAUCAAUUAAUUAAUAUAGGAAUGAAUGUUCCUUCAUCUUCCCUCAAUAAUGACAUUAGGGUCUAAUUUUAAUGCCAUAAUCUCAUAUUUAAUUAUGCAACCUUUUGUUUAGUAUCUUUUGACUUCUUCAAACUCUAUAAAUAUUAAGUAGUUAAUAUUUGUGGCAUUAUUAUUUCUCAUCUUUUAUAUUCUCUAUUAUCUAAUAUAUUGGUUGAGUUUAAAAAAUAAUUACAUUACAAAAUAUUAAAAAUAUAAAAUAAUUAAUAGAUUACAAAAGAUUACAUGUCUCUUCAUCUUUCUAUUUAAAUUCAACAAUAUAUAACCAUUAAUAAUAAAUUAAUUAUAAGUUUUGAAACAUUCAUUUAUUUUAUUAAGCCAACAAAUAAACUUUAGUGGUUUAAAAUACAUCAACUAAUUAAUAUAGGAAGGAAUAUUCCUUCCUCUUCCCUCACCAAUGCCCUAUGACCUAAUUUUAAUGUCAUAAUCCUAUAUUUAAUUAUGCAACCUUUUAUUUAGUAUCUUUUGGCUUCUUCAAGUUCUAUAAAUAUUAAGCAUUUAAGAUUUGUUAUGUUUAAGUUUUUUUAAUUAUUUAACCAACAUUCUCUUUAGAAAUGUUUUUGUGUUUUUAUUUUUUGACUUAUUUAAAUUUUUAGUAUUGUAAGCUUCAUAGAGUACUAUUUUCUUCAUGAGUUAAACCAUGAUAAAGAUAGUUGGAUAAUAAGGGUUAGACUUUGUAAGAUGUGAGAGUCUGUUAAUACUAAGAAAAAUAGAGAGUUGAUUAGUGUGAAUAUAAUUUUUAUUGAUGAAAAGGUUGUGUACACUUAACUAUACACAUUAAUAUAUAUUUUUAAUGUUAACAAAAAAAUAAUUAACUUUCAUAAAUAACAUUAGUUUUAUAAGACUGCGUCAUCUUUAAAAAAAAUUCAUAUUUUUUAUUAAUUUCAUCAAUUGCAAAGUAAUAAAAAAAUGGGAAAUUAUCACCGGUAUACCCUUAAAUGUCACCGUUAUCAAACAUACUACAACACUUUUCACUUAUAUCACUCGUAUACCCUAAGUUGACAAAAGAGUUCUGGCGUCCACCUUUCCGUUUACUACAGUUAAGAACUUAACAGAAUUUGAACAAAAUGACUAUUUUACCCUUUAAACUCAAAAUGAGGUAAAUUGGAUGACAUGUCAUUUUUAUCAAAAUAUAUCAUAUGACAUGUCGUUUUUUACUAGGUAAAUUGAAUGACAUGUCGUUUUUAAGAAAAAGACUAAAUUACCCUUGUGAUGUCAGUGCUUGUAAACGGCAGUUAACGGAUCGGUGGACGGCAGAAGUGUUUUGUCAACUUAGGGUAUACGAGUGAUACACUUGAAAAGUGUUGUAACACGUUUGAUAUUGGUGUCAUUUAAGGGUAUAUGACUGAUAAUUUCCCUAAAAAAAUAAUACUAAUUUUUUUUUAAAGCCGCAGGAAGUGCGGUUCAUUUGGCUUUUCAUCUUCUCAUAAUUAAUUUGAUUGUAUUUAACUCAUUUAAUAAAUAGUAACUUUAUUAAUAUAUAUCAUUCCUCAUCUUUUUAUAUUUUCUAUUAUCUAAAAUAUCUAAAAUAUUGGUGAAUAUUCUUUGUACUUUUUUUCUCUUUCUAUUUAAAUUCAAAAAUAUGUAAUCAUUAAUAAUAAAUAAUUAUAAGUCUUUUGAAACAUUUAUUUAUUUUAUUAUGCUAGCAAUUAAACUUUAGUGGCUUAAAAUACAUGAAUUAAUUAACAUAGGAAGAGAGGUUCUUUCAUUUAUAAAGUUAGGACUUGAGGAGGUGAUGUGGCAUCACCAUUUUGCUUCUUUGUAUAUUCUCUAUUAUCUAAUAAAUAGAGAAUUUUUUUUAAAUUUAGCUUUUCAUCUUCUCAUAAUUAAUUUGAUUGUAUUUAACUCAUUUAAUAAAUAGUAACUUUAUUAAUAUAUAUCAUUCCUCAUCUUUUUAUAUUUUCUAUUAUCUAAAAUAUCUAAAAUAUUGGUGAAUAUUCUUUGUACUUUUUCUCUUUCUAUUUAAAUUCAAACAAUCAAAUUAAUUAUGAGAAUAUGAAAAGCCAAAUCUAAAAAAAAAUUUCUCUAUUUAUUAGAUAAUUGAGAAUAUACAAAGAUGAGAAAUUGUGAUGACAUAUCACCUCCUCAAGUCCCAGCUUUAUAUAUAUAUAUAUAUAGAUAGAGAAUUUUUUUUUUUAGAUUUGGCUUUUCAUCUCCUCAUAAUUAAUUUGAUUGUAUUUAACUCAUUUAAUAAAUAGUAACUUUAUUAAUAUAUAUCAUUUCUCAUCUUUUUAUAUUUUCUAUUAUCUAAAAUAUCUAAAAUAUUAGUGGAUAUUCUUUGUAAUUUUUUUCUCUUUCUAUUUAAAUUCAACAAUAUGUAAUCAUUAAUAAUAAUUAAUUAUAAGUCUUUUGAAACAUUUAUUUAUUUUAUUAUGCUAGCAAUUAAACUUUAGUGGCUUAAAAUACAUGAAUUAAUUAACAUAGGAAGAUAGGUUCUUUCAUUUUCCCUCAACAAUGCCACUAAGACCUAAUUUAAAUGCCAUAAUCCCACAUUUAAUUAUGUAACCUUUUGUUGAGUGUCUUUUGGCUUCUUCAAAAUUUAUUAUGCUAUCAAUUAAACUUUAGU